rnacentral:tRNA from 1 species
AAGGGCUUAGCUUAAUUAAAGUGUCUGUUUUGCAUACAGGAGAUGUAAGAUGUGGUCUUGCAGUCCUUA